rnacentral:lncRNA from 1 species
GCACGCUCUGCGGCAGCUCCGGCACCGCGCUCAAGCGCUCCCAGUGCGAGCGCGCGCGCAUCGACCUCUCCCUCUGUCUCGAGGCCCAUACAUGACCUACGCAACCCAAAACCCAUGUGGUCCGGUACAUUCGUAUGCUGUUUUAUUGUACGAUUUUCUGUAAAUUCACUGAUGUUGGAGAUGUGGCCUGGUUUGGGAACACCCCUUUAUGCAUAGAGUGUAUAGUAAGAUAAGAGAGGAUCCAGGGACUCUGGAGACAAGACGUGUUCUUGUUACUGAAUAACUUCAAUUCCAAAUGGACGUUUCUGAUCAUGAAUUACUAACUAUUAUUAGUUUACUGGAUAAUAGACUCGUUUAUGUCCUUGUCACUUUGAAACAAUCAAUAUUGUCUUUCAUUUGCCCUUUCAUAUCUCUCAUUUUUCUGAUUCACGCAGCAGUUAUAGCUAGUGUUGCUGAUUAGUGAUUACAGUAUGUGAUUUAAAGGUCGAAGCAUAUUUCUGCUGAAAUCUUACAUGGUUAUCUUCGGGCUUCCACAUGACUGUGUUACUAUGAAACCUUGUACGGUGAAAUUUUGUCCAAGUAAAAGUUUGUAGAGAAAAAUAUAAACAUCUACAAUACCAAAUAAAUAUUAGUAGAUAUACCAUGAAAUAUAUUUUUUAGUGUAUUUAUUUGAUUUUUUAAUAGAUGUCCAUGUUUUUCUAUAAGCUUGACCAAACUUCAAAUAGUUUGACUUAUAACAAAACAUAUACUUUGGGAAAGAGGCAAUAUGAUGGCGGGAGUACAUUGAUAGAUUCCUUUUUGGGUAAAGGUUUAUAGGUUUUUACUUAACUCUGAUCCAAUGUAGUACUCGCCCCGUCCGGAAAUAUUUGUCGAAAAAAUGCAUAAAAAUGGAUGUAUCUAGAAUUAAAAUACGUCUAGAUACAUCCAUUCCUCCGACAAGUAUUUCCGGACGGAGGGAGUAUGAUUUAAAGCUAAAGCUUUCAGAUCGUCAUGUUCCUAAAAGAAAGAACACACGAAAUUAUUUAUGGUUCUUUUCAACUGUGAAAAGAGAGCACUGAGGGACAUAUAAGUUUACUCCAGCCUUGAUAACUACCCCCUCCGUCCCAUAAUAUAAAUAGCUUGCAAAACGAUCUUAUAUUAUGGGAUGGAGGGACCGAGGGAGUAGUAGUUAGUUAGUCGCCUCUACGGAGUGGCUUUCUUCCGGAGACAAAAACACUAAGUUUUUUCAUCUACGGGCAAGCUUGAGAAGAAAGAAAAAUAUGAUACGAGCACUGCAAAACUCUUUGGGAGUACUUAUAGAUGACCCGAUGGAGCUGAGAGCUCUGGCCAAUUUUUUUUACCAAGACCUGUACUCGUCUGAGGGAGUGCAAGGAGUAGAUACGGUACUGGAGCAUGUACCAAGGAAAGUAACAGUGGCGAUGAACGAGCAGCUUUGUGCGCCGUACUCCGCUGAUGAGGUCAAGUGUGCUUUGUUCCAAAUGUUCCCGACGAAGGCGCCGGGCCCUGAUGGGUUUCCAGCCCACUUUUAUCAGAAACACUGGGAUGUUUGCAGGGAGGAUGUGACUAACAUCGUGCUACAGAUUGUCAGAGGGGAGACGAGCCCUGAAUGUGUCAAUGAUACUGUACUGGUCUUAAUCCCCAAGGUUACAAAUCCUACCCUCCUCUCUCAAUAUAGACCGAUCAGUUUAUGCAAUGCUUUGUAUAAGAUUUCAUCCAAAGUCAUUGCAAAUAGAUUGAAGCUUAUCUUACAGACAUCAUAUCAAAGGAGCAGUCGGCGUUCGUGCCAGGAAGGUUGAUUACUGAUAAUAUUAUCUGCGCAUAUGAGUGUCUCCAUUUUAUGAAGAGGAACAGGUCAAAAAAUAAUAGUUUUUGUGCUCUAAAGCUUGAUAUGAUGAAAGCAUAUGACAGGUUGGAGUGGCCAUAUUUGAAAGCUAUUAUGCAAAAAUUGGGAUUUGCACAGGUAUGGAUUGACACGGUCAUGAACAUGGUCUCAACAGUCUCUUUCUCAGUCUUGUUCAAUGGAGAAAGGCUUGAAGCAUUUAGACCGACCAGAGGAAUUUGGCAGGGAGAUCCAAUCUCCCCUUAUCUCUUCUUGAUUGCAGCAGAGGGCCUCUCGUGCCUCCUGAAAACUAGUUCUCAGUCAUCACUUCUUGCAGGUGUCAAGGUGGCUCCCACGGCUCCGCCUGUUAACCAUCUUUUAUUUGCAGAUGAUAGCCUGUUGCUUUUCAAGUCGAGUGUGGAGGGUGCAGAACUUGUAUCAAACCUACUGAACAGGUAUUGUAAUGCUUCGGGCCAGAGAAUCAAUCAUGCUAAAUCAUCCAUCUUCUUCAGCAGAGGAUGCCCACAAGCAACCAGAGAGGGGGUGAAAGACAGCCUUCAGGUCCAUAAUGAAACUUUGAGCGAACGAUAUUUGGGCAUGCCCACUGAUGUGGGACACUCCAAGAACGGAACGUUCAAAUAUCUGCGGGACAGAGUUUGGGAGAAAAUAAGGGGAUGGAUGGAAAAAUUGUUAUCAUCUGCGGGCAAGGAGGUAUUGAUAAAGUCAGUUGCACAAGCAAUUCCAGUCUUCUCUAUGUCUUGUUUCAGGUUGCCAAGGGGUGUGUGCCUGGAUAUCGAAUCCCUUAUUCGUCAAUUUUGGUGGGGCAGCAAAAGAGGAAAGAGGAAACCCUCAUGGGUUGCGUGGGAUGUGAUGAUCAGACCCAAGUAUAUGGGGGGCAUGGGAUUCAGAGACCUCGAGUUGUUUAACCUGGCAUUGUUAGCAAGACAGGCAUGGAGGGUUUUGAUUGAUGAUGAGACUUUGAGCGCUCAAAUACUCAAAGCAGCUUACUAUCCUAAUGGCUCUUUACUUGAUGCAACACUUGGGCCGCAUCCAUCUUAGAUUUGGAGGGCUAUACUUGAUGGCAGAGAUGUGCUUGCGCAGGGAGUGAUACGUCGGAUUGGAGACGGAGAGACUACCAGCAUUUGGGAUCAUAACUGGAUACCGAGACCAAGUUUUAAGCGACCAAUUACCUCUCUGGUACCGGCUCCACCGGAGAGAGUAGCUGAACUUAUUGAGUUAACUACAUCUUCAUGGAAAGAGGAGUUGGUGAGAGCAGUAUUCACCCCCUUUGAUGUUGAAGAAAUUUUGAAAAUCCCGCUGUGCACGAGACGUAUUGAUGAUUUUUGGGCUUGGAGCGAGACCCCGAGGGGAAUUUUCAGAGUUGCAUCGACAUAUCGCAUGCUUGUGUCAACAAAAAUCAGUAGAGAAAACUGGUUGGAAGGAAGAGAGGAAUCAUCACUUAUAAACAGGGAGAGUGGAGAAUGGAACAGUCUGUGGAAAUUGCAUGUACCUUCAAAGAUCAAAGUGUUCGCAUGGCGGCUGGCGAGGCACUCCAUCCCUUCCGGCCAGGUGCUACACCAUCGCCAUAUGGCAACGACUUCAGCGUGCCCUCUAUGUGGAGCUCGGGAUACAUGGAAGCAUGUGUUACUCGAGUGUCCGAUGUCUCGUUGCACUUGGGCAUUGUCCUCGGAAGUAGUACUGGAUCAUCUCAGUAUUGUUCAACAUGACAACGCGAAAAAAUGGCUGUUUGUCCUUCAAGAGAGCCUCGAUGCCGAUGACUUUAUCAGACUAGUGGUCACUCUUUGGGCUAUCUGGGGAGCUAGAAGAAAAGCAAUAUAUGAAGGAGUUUUCCGCAGCCCUCAGUCCAUCGAUGGAUUCAUAAAUUCUUACCUGUCGGAGAUCAAUAUGAUCUACCCCGAGAAAGCUUCAGUGCUCAAGGCAAAUACGCCAAGGCCGCGACGGUGGUUGCCGCCCGUUGAGAAUCACGCUAAAAUAAACACGGAUGCAGCAGUCGGUGGCCGGGGAUGAUUUGGUGCGGUCGCAGCAAUCUGCCGUGAUGGUGAGGGAACUUUUGCAGGUGCGUCGGCAGUCGUAUACAGAACAAUUGGAGACCCGGCUACGCUCGAAGCCUUAGCCAUCCGAGAGGCUCUCUCCCUUGCUGAUGAUCUAUAUCUCCAGAGAAUUCACGUGGCUUCGGAUUGCAGGGAAGUAGUGGAGGAGAUUUCCAGCGGUGGUGCAUCGAUCUAUGGUGCAGUUAUACAAGAGAUCAAGUCGCACGUUUUGUCCUUUAAUUCUUGUAAGAUACUUCAUGAGUUUAGGAGCUCAAAUUAUGAUGCUCACAACCUUGCGAAAUAUGCGUUGGGUCUCGGGCCUGGCCGUCAUAUUUGGUUAGGCCAGCCCGAGGGAAUUCCCUUCGUCCAUGUAAACAUCGUGACGAAUGAAUAAAAAGUUUGGCAGGGUUGCCUAAAAAAACCAACAAAUCCAAAUCCAAGAAUUACUCAAAAUAAAAUAAAAUAACAAAUCCAAGAGCGGAGGGGCGAUCAAAGGUGGGGCGGAAGCGCCGAUCUCCCCCGAUUCCAUGAGCAGGAGCGGAGGCGGCGGCCGCGGGAGACAACAACCCGAGGCCGAAUCUGCGGCCGUGCCCGUCCCGGGGCCCUGCGCCUCGACCCAUCGGGCUCUCGCCGAGUGCCACCGCCGUGCCGCCCGCGGCCCGCUGCAGCCCGAGGUGCUGUGCCGGCACCUCAACCGGGCCCUGGCCGAGUGCGUGGUGAACAUGUGCUGCCCCGGCGAGACCGACGCCGUGCGCACGCUCUGCGGCAGCUCCGGCACCGCGCUCAAGCGCUCCCAGUGCGAGCGCGCGCGCAUCGACCUCUCCCUCUGCCUCGAGGCCCAUACAUGACCUACGCAACCCAAAACCCAUGUGGUCCGGUACAUUCGUAUGCUGUUUUAUUGUACGAUUUUCUGUAAAUUCACUGAUGUUGGAGAUGUGGCCUGGUUUGGGAACACCCCUUUAUGCAUAGAGUGUAUAGUAAGAUAAGAGAGGAUCCAGGGACUCUGGAGACAAGACGUGUUCUUGUUACUGAAUAACUUCAAUUCCAAAUGGACGUUUCUGAUCAUGAAUUACUAACUAGUAUUAGUUUACUGGAUAAUAGACUCGUUUAUGUCCUUGUCACUUUGAAACAAUCAAUAUUGUCUUUCAUUUGCCC